CAAAACAUAGUUUAUAUAGAACAAAGUCUUUGGGUGACUUAAGAACAUUCGUUUUGA
rnacentral:tRNA from 1 species